UAAGAGCAGGGCGGUCCUGCCCCGCCGGCCCACAAUGACCGGUCACGAGAUGAAGGGUAGGGCCAGCGGUAAGAGCAGGUGGCCCACCGGUUGCAGGUUCUCGAGAGCCCACCGUGAAGGUACCUCCCAGGAUCUUGGCUGGUACACAGAACUGCAAUUCAUUCCAUUCAAACGGGGGCCAUUGAAGGCGGUCAGACAUUUCAGUGCGCACAUGGAAGGUUGGAUCCACAGAUGCUGCGCCCGUAGAUAUGGAGAAUCAACUAUAUACCCUUUGCUUUCAUAAUUUUUUAAGAUUUAUUUGAUUUUACAUGUUUGUUUGUACCUAAGUGUAUAUAUGUGUGCAUCACAUGGGUGAAGGUGCCUGUGGAGCCCAGGGGAGUCACUGGAGUUCAGGUGUGCCACCCAAUGUUUAUGAGAGCCAAACCUAGACCUCUGCAGGAGCAGCAAGUGCUCCUGUCCACUGAGCCAUCUCCCCAGCCCCUCUUAUCUUGAAAUUUGAACCGUGCAGAUACAGUCCUUCACAUGAAUAAACAAAAUUAAAAAUUAAA